rnacentral:lncRNA from 1 species
UAAUUAGGUCCUUGCCUAAUUAUGAAACCAAUUAGGCCUCAAUCUAAUUGAGAAUUAAUUAGAUUAAAACUCCAUUGAUCCAGAGAUUGAUUUUUGAUGGAUAUCAGAGAAGCUAUUUGAUAAUAGGGCUUGAUCCAAUCAAACCUACAAUCCAACAGAGUUUGAUCUAAUCAAAACCUAUACAAAAAUAAUUAAAUCCUAUUCAACUUAAAAUUUAAUUUGCAUCCCUG